rnacentral:rRNA from 1 species
AACGAACGCUGGCGGCGUGCCUAACACAUGCAAGUCGCGCGAGAAAGUGGGGGCAACUCCAUGAGUAAAGCGGCGCACGGGUGAGUAAUACGUAGGUAACCUGCCCUCGAGACCGGGAUAACCUUCCGAAAGGAGGGCUAAUACCGGAUAAGACCACGAAGUUUCGGCUUCGGGGUCAAAGGUGGCCUCUGCAUGCAAGCUAUCACUCGAAGAUGGGCCUGCGCACCAUUAGCAGUUGGCGAGGUAACGGCUCACCAAGGCGAAGAUGGUUAGCUGGCCUGAGAGGAUGACCAGCCACACUGGGACUGAGACACGGCCCAGACUCCUACGGGAGGCAGCAGUGGGGAAUAUUGGACAAUGGGGGAAACCCUGAUCCAGCGACGCCGCGUGGGUGAUGAAGGCCUU